GGGGUUGUGGCUCAGUGGUAGAGCACUUGCCUAGCAUGCAUGAGGUACUGGGUUGAUCCCCAGCAUCACAU
rfam:Ictidomys tridecemlineatus contig111977, whole genome shotgun sequence.